AACGCUGGCGGCGCGCUUAACACAUGCAAGUCGAGCGAGAACCGGGACUUCGGUCCCGGGGACAGCGGCGAACGGGUGAGUAACACGUGGGUAAUCUGCCUCGAUUCUGGGAUAGCCCGGGGAAACCCGGAUUAAUACCGGAUAGCCUUUCGAGCCUUCGGGCGCGAAAGAAAAGGUAUCUUCGGCCUCCGAUCGAGGAUGAGCCCGCGGUGGAUUAGCUUGUUGGUGAGGUAAUGGCUCACCAAGGCGACGAUCCAUAGCUGGUCUGAGAGGACGAUCAGCCACACUGGGACUGAGACACGGCCCAGACUCCUACGGGAGGCAGCAGUGGGGAAUCUUGCGCAAUGGGCGAAAGCCUGACGCAGCGACGCCGCGUGGGGGAAGAAGGCCUUAGGGUUGUAAACCUCUUUCAGGCGGGACGAGGCCACUCGGGUUAAUAGCCCAGAGGGUGACGGUACCGCCAGAAGAAGCCCCGGCUAACUACGUGCCAGCCGCCGCCGUAAGAC
rnacentral:rRNA from 1 species